GUAGUGCAUCUUUUCCUAGCCUUUGAUUCACAGUAAUUUUACAUGAUCACAUUGUUAGCCUUACCAACUGUGUGACUUUUCCUGUUUAAGACAGUAAGUUCUGCUACUAAAUAACUUGCUCCCUGGUCCUUUUCACUGAAUGUACCUGUUUCUUGUUUGUUUGUGUGUUUGUGUGUUUUUAACAAGAGUUACUGUUUGUUUUAAGAUUCUAAUAGCUGCUUAAAGUAAUCAGCAUCUUUACUUCUCGAAUACCUAUGACUUAUAUUUAAGGGUUUUUGUUUUGUUUGGGUUUUCUUUUUUUUUUUUUAUUGGAGCCAUUCCCACAUCUCUAAGUUGUUUGACAUAGCAGGGAUUGGCAAAUGACAGCCCAUGGGCCGAACCUCACCAGAGGCCUGCUUUGGUACAGCCCUCAGGGCUAAGAUUGGCUUUUACAUUUUUAAAGCAUUUAAACAAGCAGACAAAGACAAAGAAGAAUAUGUGACAGAGACUACAUGUGAUCUGAAAAACCUAAAAUAUUUGCCACCUGCCUCUUUACAGAAAAAUCUUGCUGGCCUCCUCACAUGGAUGAUUCUCAAUAAAAUAAGAAAAUUUGGAUAAUCAGCCUAUAGAAGCUCCUUGGUAAGGGUCUUUCAUCAUAAAGAUGGACUUUUUCUGUGUCCUUUGUUCCAAUCACACAGGAAAAUGACUCAGAAGGUUAUAAUUCAUCAUCACUACCCUUAUCAGGGUUAUCCCCAGGCCUAAAAUUUUCCUCUUCCAUCUCACAUCUCACCUUCAAAAAUUACCACAUUGGGUUAUCAAACAUGUUUAUAAAAUACAAACAUGAGUUAAGUGUAAAACAUAAGAGCAUAGUAAAAUUUAAAAAUCCCCCCAAACUCAUCAAUCACUGGAGAAAUCACUUUUAGUCUUUUUCAACCUAUGUUUUGCCAUGUUUGUAACCACAACAAAACUGGGGGCAGGAGGUGGGGCAGGGUGCAGCUGAGCCUUUAGAAUGAAAAUUAAAUUUCCCCUCAUUUUUAGUUAUACUAGCAAAGCUUGUUUGGUCCUGUGAGUCAUCCUGUAGUGCAUAAGGGGAGUUUAGGGGAAAUAGUUAGAGAAGGAAAAACUCAUGUCAUCCAUUUACCACCCCUCUCGUCUGUGCAAUAUAGCACUCAUCAGUUACCAGUAACCUCCCAUAGCUUGCAUCAUAAACCAAACUGGGCACAAACAAAUACAAUCCUAUUGCACACUGCCACAAUGGGGCUGAAAGACCCCGAAUGAAAUUGCUGACAUGUCUGCUUAGCCACUAUCUAUCCUCAAAGUAUGCAAACUUCGAAAGUUGAUGUCUAGGUUUUAAAUCAAAAUCUCUUACAAACCCCUAGUGAUGACAUAUUGAACUUUAAGGUUUUGUGGAAACCAAAUUGAGAAACAUUGGACCAGAGUCUCUGUAUUCCAAAAGAUUAUCUUUCAUUUGUAUAAUCUAAAACUCCCUUAAGUCUUAUUCUUCUCCAAAACUCAAAGAUCUACCCUUCUUCAAAG
rnacentral:lncRNA from 1 species